GACGUAGGAGGCGAGCGUUGUCCGGAAUCAUUGGGCGUAAAGAGCGUGUAGGCGGUCCGGUAAGUCCGCUGUGAAAGUCGGGGGCUCAACCCUCGAAUGCCGGUGGAUACUGUCGGGCUAGAGUGCGGAAGAGGCGAGUGGAAUUCCUGGUGUAGCGGUGAAAUGCGCAGAUAUCAGGAGGAACACCUAUUGCGAAGGCAGCUCGCUGGGACGUAACUGACGCUGAGACGCGAAAGCGUGGGGAGCAAACAGG
rnacentral:rRNA from 1 species